GCGCGUUGUGUCGCUACGGCAGCAUCGCGUGGGAAAGCGGAUAUAGCACCGUUACAGCCUACACACACGUUUCCCAUGAAGAAUGAUGAUGAGGACAAACGAGGCUUGACAGUCCGCUGACGUGAAUUCCCGCUCCUCCUCUCGCCACUGGCUCAAGGAGAACAGCUUCAUCUGCGUACUGGUGAGGCUGCCCAGAGCAGGAGAAGCAGGAAAGAGCUGCCUUUUCAGAGGGAGGAUCAGAUCUGAGACACAGAGAGAGAGAGAGAGCGAGAGAGAGAGGGGGGGAG